UACGUAGGGUGCAAGCGUUAAUCGGAAUUACUGGGCGUAAAGCGUGCGCAGGCGGUUCGCUAAGACAGAUGUGAAAUCCCCGGGCUUAACCUGGGAACUGCAUUUGUGACUGGCGGGCUAGAGUAUGGCAGAGGGGGGUAGAAUUCCACGUGUAGCAGUGAAAUGCGUAGAGAUGUGGAGGAAUACCGAUGGCGAAGGCAGCCCCCUGGGCCAAUACCGACGCUCAUGCACGAAAGCGUGGGGAGCAAACAGG
rnacentral:rRNA from 1 species